ACGCUAUUCAAUGGUCAUAAAAAAAACACGACCCACCUUAUUUCCAACCCUAUCUCUAUCUAUUCUUAUUCUCUCACCAUCACAACCGUCCUCUUUCUUCGUCUCUUUCUCGCUCUUCUUCAUCGACGGUAUUCAAUGGUCCGCUACCACACUUUCUAUGAUUUGAAGAGGUUCGAUCGAUUUCUGAGCCAAUCACCGUCGCAGGUUGUUUCGGUGAAGUUUCGGGGAUGGCGGUUUCGUCGGCGUUGGUUGGGGUUUUCGUGGGUGGGUAGGGUGGAUGUGAGGGUGGCUGGGUCGUGGGGGGUGGGUGAGGGUGGAGGUUGUGCGGCUUGUCUCUUUCUCCAACAAGUGCUCCUUCUUCAGAUAUUGAACAUCGAUGGGUUAACUGGCGGGUUCAAUUUUCAGGUUGUGUACUUUCAAUACUAUGGUGAUAUUCCCAAGGGCUCUAUAACACUAUAUCCAAUGUUUAUGUUGGCAAAAAGCUCAUUCAAUUUUCAUAACAUCCGUUGUUCAUUCUUUAUUUUUGUCAGGCAAGUACAUACUAGCUGGUCAUCUAGUUGGCGAAAGCUUGUUUUGUUCUUACAGGUUAGUUGCCAGAUGCAACACACAAGAAAGAGAUUACAUGAAUUCUGGGAGGCUAACAUGAUAUGCUUUUUUUCUAGCAGCAGAAAUUAGUUAGAAUAACUAUUAUCAAAGGUUGGCAGCAAAGGAUGUGUAUCUUGUCAAGAAAAAGCGGGACGAUGCUGGUAUGGAUAUCGAAUGCACAAGUUGCCGUACAACAUGCUCUGAGGAUUGUGUUUGCAGGGUUAUGAGAUUUGCGCUUGAGUUCCAGAUUUGAAGUUGGUUUCGAUCUAGAUACCAGAUUUAAAGUCCGUUUUGGUUCCAGAUUUUUGUUGUGGAGUCUAAAGUGUACAUGUAAUUAUAUGAGAUUUGUAUUAGAUUUUGUUCGAAGUAUACUAGAAUUUAGUUCUAGAAUUAUUUUUUCACUUGUAAUUACAUUUAUUAUCAAUAAUAAUUGAAUUGAUUAA